UGCAAGUCGAACGAUGAAGCCCUUCGGGGUGGAUUAGUGGCGAACGGGUGAGUAACACGUGGGCAAUCUGCCCUGCACUCUGGGACAAGCCCUGGAAACGGGGUCUAAUACCGGAUAUCACUUCCACUCGCAUGAGUGGGGGUCGAAAGCUCCGGCGGUGCAGGAUGAGCCCGCGGCCUAUCAGCUUGUUGGUGAGGUAAUGGCUCACCAAGGCGACGACGGGUAGCCGGCCUGAGAGGGCGACCGGCCACACUGGGACUGAGACACGGCCCAGACUCCUACGGGAGGCAGCAGUGGGGAAUAUUGCACAAUGGGCGAAAGCCUGAUGCAGCGACGCCGCGUGAGGGAUGACGGCCUUCGGGUUGUAAACCUCUUUCAGCAGGGAAGAAGCGAAAGUGACGGUACCUGCAGAAGAAGCGCCGGCUAACUACGUGCCAGCAGCCGCGGUAAUACGUAGGGCGCAAGCGUUGUCCGGAAUUAUUGGGCGUAAAGAGCUCGUAGGCGGCUUGUCACGUCGGGUGUGAAAGCCCGGGGCUUAACCCCGGGUCUGCAUUCGAUACGGGCUAGCUAGAGUGUGGUAGGGGAGAUCGGAAUUCCUGGUGUAGCGGUGAAAUGCGCAGAUAUCAGGAGGAACACCGGUGGCGAAGGCGGAUCUCUGGGCCAUUACUGACGCUGAGGAGCGAAAGCGUGGGGAGCGAACAGGAUUAGAUACCCUGGUAGUCCACGCCGUAAACGGUGGGAACUAGGUGUUGGCGACAUUCCACGUCGUCGGUGCCGCAGCUAACGCAUUAAGUUCCCCGCCUGGGGAGUACGGCCGCAAGGCUAAAACUCAAAGGAAUUGACGGGGGCCC
rnacentral:rRNA from 1 species